UUACUUACCUGGACGGGGUCUACGGGCGAUCAAAAAGGCCCGUGGCCUAGAUCAAUGGCCCACAUUGCACUUGGUGGGUGCGCUGGUUUAUCAUCUCCCCAAGUGGGAGAGUGAACGUCAUAAUUUGUGGUAGAGGGGGUACGCGUUCGCGCGGCCCCUGC
rnacentral:snRNA from 1 species